rnacentral:misc_RNA from 1 species
GUAACAAGGUUUCCGUAGGUGAACCUGCGGAAGGAUCAUUACCGAGUGAGGGCCCUCUGGGUCCAACCUCCCACCCGUGUUUAUUUUACCUUGUUGCUUCGGCGGGCCCGCCUUUACUGGCCGCCGGGGGGCUCACGCCCCCGGGCCCGCGCCCGCCGAAGACACCCUCGAACUCUGUCUGAAGAUUGAAGUCUGAGUGAAAAUAUAAAUUAUUUAAAACUUUCAACAACGGAUCUCUUGGUUCCGGCAUCGAUGAAGAACGCAGCGAAAUGCGAUACGUAAUGUGAAUUGCAAAUUCAGUGAAUCAUCGAGUCUUUGAACGCACAUUGCGCCCCCUGGUAUUCCGGGGGGCAUGCCUGUCCGAGCGUCAUUGCUGCCCUCAAGCCCGGCUUGUGUGUUGGGCCCCGUCCUCCGAUUCCGGGGGACGGGCCCGAAAGGCAGCGGCGGCACCGCGUCCGGUCCUCGAGCGUAUGGGGCUUUGUCACCCGCUCUGUAGGCCCGGCCGGCGCUUGCCGAUCAACCCAAAUUUUUAUCCAGGUUGACCUCGGAUCAGGUAGGGAUACCCGCUGAACUUAAGCAUAUC